rnacentral:lncRNA from 1 species
UGCCACUGCACUCCAGCCUGGGUGACAGUGACACUUCAUCUCAAAAACAACAACAACAACAACAAAAAACCCAAAUAGGGUUGGUGCAGACCCACUCUCACAACACUCCUCAGGCCCGCUAUAGAGUCAAGGCAGACAGGCUCUGCCACACUGGCCGCCACACCCAUUCCUGCCACCUGACCUUUGCUUCUGCUAUUGCCUCUGCCUGGGGUGACCUUCCCCAGGCUGCUGAAACGUCACCUCCUUUGGCCAGGCCCUUUUAAUGGCCACCCUCUGCCUCAUGGGUGUUUGUUUCCAUCAUAGGAUGCAGCCAGUCUUUAAUUACCUUGUUUAUUACCUGUGUCCCUCGCUAGACUGGAACACUCAAAGUGGGUGUGGACUUUGUCCAGGGCCAAGCACAAGGCCAGGCACAUGAGAGGGACUCGGUAAAUAUUUGCUGAAUAAAUACACAAGAAAAAUGCACACACUACCCAGGGAGGCAUGCAGGGAAGGCAGAACACUCGCCCCACCCCACAGACCCCGUACUUGACGGAUCAGCUGACACUACCCAGACCAGUAAUCUGGCUCAACCAGUCCUGCGAUCCCACCCAGGAACAGAAGACAGCAAGAAAACCUCACUUCAACACUCCCGUCGAUGACUCCAUCGACCUCAGGAAGCUCCAACCAAUCAGCACUCCCCACUUCCUGAGCCCCUACCCGCCAAAUUAUCUUUCAAAACUCGGAUCCCCUAAUGCUCAGCGGAGACUGAUUUGAGCAAUAAUAAAACUCUGGU